AUUGAACGCUGGCGGCAGGCCUAACACAUGCAAGUCGAGCGGAUGAAGGGAGCUUGCUCCUGGAUUCAGCGGCGGACGGGUGAGUAAUGCCUAGGAAUCUGCCUGGUAGUGGGGGAUAACGUCCGGAAACGGGCGCUAAUACCGCAUACGUCCUGAGGGAGAAAGUGGGGGAUCUUCGGACCUCACGCUAUCAGAUGAGCCUAGGUCGGAUUAGCUAGUUGGUGGGGUAAAGGCCUACCAAGGCGACGAUCCGUAACUGGUCUGAGAGGAUGAUCAGUCACACUGGAAAUGAGAAACGGUCCAAACCCCUACGGGAGGCAGGAGGGGGGAAUUUUGGACAAGGGGCGAAAGCCUGAUCCAGCCAGGCCGCGGGUGUGAAGAAGGUCUUCGGAUUGUAAAGCACUUUAAGUUGGGAGGAAGGGAAGUAAGUUAAUACCUUGCUGUUUUGACGUUACCAAAAGAAUAAGCACCGGCUAACUUCGU
rnacentral:rRNA from 1 species